rnacentral:misc_RNA from 1 species
AAGUCGUAACAAGGUUUCCGUAGGUGAACCUGCGGAAGGAUCAUUAAUGAUUUUUUAAGCAAACCAAGCUUUUUUUAUGAAAGUAAGGUUUUGCGAACAUAUAUUUAAAACCCCACUCUUUUAAAUAAAUUUUCAUUCAUAUAUUAUGAAUAAAAAAAAGAUCACUUUCAACAACGGAUCUCUUGGCUCUC